UGCGUGAUUAGUUCAGUGGCUAGAAUAACUGGCUUCCAACCAGUAGACACGAGUUCGACUCUCGUAUCCCGCACCAA
rnacentral:tRNA from 1 species